AUCAGUCUUAAGAAUGAUUACUGAUUCCCGUCUCAAAAAAGAAAAGAAUAGAAUGAUUUCUGAUUCAGCUUCCACGGGAAAGAGGGUUCAAGGAAAAAAACAACAACUUAACCACAACAAGCGGAUGAUGUGUGGGCUUGAGUGUUCCGGUACCAGGGACCAGCGAAGUGAUCAAGCUCAAAUGAUGGAUCCGGCUAUCCAUUGUUUACUACUUUCUGAAGUUUCUGAAAAUUAAAAUUACCCACCGGUAUAUGCAAGAUAAUUCUACAUAUGUAUUCUGAAGUUUCUGAAGUGUGCAUAUGCAAGAUAAUUCUACAUAUGUAUUCAAUCAAAUGAUGGAUCCGGCAUAUGCAAGAUAAUUCUACAUAUGUAUUCUGAAGUCUCUGAAGUGUGCAUAUGCAAGAUAAUUCUACAUA